rnacentral:lncRNA from 1 species
GGAGUCAGCACCAUGAAAACUCUCUCUCUUCUCUUCACCUAGUCAGUUUAUUCUCCCAAGUCAGCAAUCAAGGUGAUGGUUCCACUGAGUUCAAGUGCCCAUGCCAAAACCAGCCGCUAUAACAAGCCUCUUGUCUCUGGUUCCAGCCUUGGGAGGUCUGUCCUGGUACCUUAUCUUCUGUGAGUAUUGAAGACUGAACCAGACUUGGGGAUCUAUACAACUUCCAGAAACUCUUUCCUGCUGGUGCCAGU